GCAACGCGAAGAACUUACCUGGUCUUGACAUCCCGGAGACCCUUAGGAAACUAGGGGUGCUUCCAUCUGGAAGAAUCUGGAGACAGGUGCUGCAUGGCUGUCGUCAGCUCGUGUCGUGAGAUGUUGGGUUAAGUCCCGCAACGAGCGCAACCCUUGCCUUUAGUUGCCAGCAGUUCGGCUGGGCACUCUAAAGGGACUGCCGGUGUUAAACCGGAGGAAGGUGGGGAUGACGUCAAGUCCUCAUGGCCUUUAUGACCAGGGCUACACACGUACUACAAUGGCCGAUACAAAGGGCAGCGACACUGCGAGGUGAAGCCAAUCCCGUAAAAUCGGUCUCAGUCCGGAUUGGAGUCUGCAACUCGACUCCAUGAAGUUGGAAUCGCUAGUAAUCGUGGAUCAGCAUGCCACGGUGAAUACGUUCCCGGGCCUU
rnacentral:rRNA from 1 species